rnacentral:rRNA from 1 species
CUUGCUUCUCUUGAGAGCGGCGGACGGGUGAGUAAUGCCUAGGAAUCUGCCUGGUAGUGGGGGAUAACGUCCGGAAACGGACGCUAAUACCGCAUACGUCCUACGGGAGAAAGCAGGGGACCUUCGGGCCUUGCGCUAUCAGAUGAGCCUAGGUCGGAUUAGCUAGUUGGUGGGGUAAUGGCUCACCAAGGCGACGAUCCGUAACUGGUCUGAGAGGAUGAUCAGUCACACUGGAACUGAGACACGGUCCAGACUCCUACGGGAGGCAGCAGUGGGGAAUAUUGGACAAUGGGCGAAAGCCUGAUCCAGCCAUGCCGCGUGUGUGAAGAAGGUCUUCGGAUUGUAAAGCACUUUAAGUUGGGAGGAAGGGCAGUAAAUUAAUACUUUGCUGUUUUGACGUUACCGACAGAAUAAGCACCGGCUAACUCUGUGCCAGCAGCCGCGGUAAUACAGAGGGUGCAAGCGUUAAUCGGAAUUACUGGGCGUAAAGCGCGCGUAGGUGGUUCGUUAAGUUGGAUGUGAAAUCCCCGGGCUCAACCUGGGAACUGCAUUCAAAACUGACGAGCUAGAGUAUGGUAGAGGGUGGUGGAAUUUCCUGUGUAGCGGUGAAAUGCGUAGAUAUAGGAAGGAACACCAGUGGCGAAAGCGACCACCUGGACUGAUACUGACACUGAGUGCGAAAGCGUGGGGAGCAAACAGGAUUAGAUACCCUGGUAGUCCACGCCGUAAACGAUGUCAACUAGCCGUUGGGA